rnacentral:rRNA from 1 species
GUAGGGGGCAAGCGUUAUCCGGAUUUACUGGGCGUAAAGGGUGCGUAGGUGGCCAUGUAAGUUAGGUGUGAAAGACCGGGGCUUAACCCCGGGGCGGCACUUAAAACUGUGUGGCUUGAGUACAGGAGAGGGAAGUGGAAUUCCUAGUGUAGCGGUGAAAUGCGUAGAUAUUAGGAGGAACACCAGUGGCGAAGGCGACUUUCUGGACUGUAACUGACACUGAGGCACGAAAGCGUGGGGAGCAAA